AGUUUUGUUCAGGCGUCCAUGGUGGCGCUGGUGAUGGGGGAAGGAGGGACAAGGAAGAAGACCUAGUUAUAUGUCCGUGAGCUGGAUCCAGAUCUCUGAAGGUAGUGGGUUUGGUUUCUUAGCAGGGUCAGGCCCGUUUAAUUUUGGGUUGUAUAGAUGGCAAAACAUCAAAAGGGGUUUCAGCGCUGGAUCAGUGAUGUUUUUUUUCUUUUGGGCUGAUUCGACUGACGCUUAGUUCGGGUCAGGCAAUUUUCUUUUGCUUUCCAUCAUUCUGCUCUUCUUUAGGAAUCGACUGACACAAUUGUAGAGUCAGUCGAUUGACUUGUAGCCGCUCCCUUUCUUCGCCGGCCUCAUCGCCUCGCGAAGCCCCCGCGUCAGACCUCAACUUGCUUCUGCUGACGCCAUCCCUUCGCCUGAACCGCCGCCUCUGUCAUCGCAGAUCCGCUUCAAUUCGCCAUCGUUGCGGCACUGUAUAUACAUGCUCUAGUUCAACAUGGCAGAACCAAUGCCAAAGCAAUGGAUGCAUCAUUUGAUCAAUCCAAAAUUUUCUACAACAUGGACGACGUAUUAUAUGUGUUCUUUCAAUGACUUCUAUAGUCCUUGAACCAUUCUACUGCUAGUCCAUCCAUCAAGGGAAAUAUGCUAGUGCCACUACCUAAUUCGUGACCAUGACAAUCCAUCUAAGCCAGCCGGCUCAUACGGGCCACGGCUGCAACGUCUGGAGAAGGGAGAAAGGCUGCUCCUACUACGGACAAGUGCUUGGGUUAUCGUUAACCAAACAUAUCAUGCCAAUCAAGCGAACAGUUUCCAGGAAGGACAAGACUGGUCAAGUGAUGGAUCAAUCAGUAUACCAGGUGAUAUCUGUUUCAUCUACUACUUGUUUGUCCAAAACAAGGCUGACAGAGCAACAAGUAAAUCUGCGGCUCUAGCACGGUGUCCGCGUUCACCCGGCAAAAAAUAUCAGGUGCUAUUUCUCCUAUUUAUUUUUAGAAGUGCAUAUUAAUUCAUCCGAGCAAAACUACUUUGCCCUGCUGUGUUUUAUAUGCAGGAUAAUUAUUUAUUACAAAGUGGUAUUAUACCAUGGAGAUGGAGGCGUGCCAACAUCAAUCGGCACAGGUGGUCGUCCUCACUCAACGGACUCCCGCACCGGCUUACAAUGAUGUGGUUGACUCACUCGUCUGCGCCGCCUUACAACGCCACGGACGACUCGUUCAUCUGCCCUCGUGGCGGUUCACGCGUCCGCACCUGCUUACAAUGAUGUGGCCGACUCACUCGUCUGCGCCGCCUUACAACGCCACGGAUGACUCGUUCAUCUGCCCUCGUGGCGAUACACGCGUCCGCACCGGCCUACAACGUCGCGGUCGACUCUCCCGCCCGAGCCUGCUUACAAUGCCUCGGCUGACUCAUCUGUCUGCUUCCAAGGCCGACUCGGUUGUGAUUGAUUUCAGCUUUACCAUGGUGAUCAUCAACUCCGCAGUGGAUAAUUUCUGGUUUAACAUAUCAGGUGAAAUCCAUCCAGUAUAUUUUUAUAUUAUAUAUUGCUUUUCUUUAAAAGAGCAAUUACUCUGGCUUGCAAGUUCUCCAAUGCAGGACAAGUUAUAUCACUGAGCUGUUGACUGACUCAUACCGGUUUAUAUCACAGUCAAAUAUGGAGAAUCUCAAGACAACUCCUCAAGUCGCCUUGAGACUCAGGGGCUACGGUGACAUGGCCCAGUAAAUGAUUGCCAAUUUAAAGCAGAUUCAAGAACUCCGGAUCAUUGGAGGGAAAAAUCACCCGGCCCCAGAGGCUACUGCCUUAUUGGCGAGUAUUUAAAGGCCUUCAGAAAAUUUCCGGCUUAAAAAAGAAGGAUAUCGGGUUUAAAAUCUGGCUCAAGGUAAACUUGUCUCCCACAAAGCUUUGAAGCUCUCAAUAUCCGGUUCAAAAUCUUGGUUCAAGAAGAAUUUAUCCCUCGCAAAGGUCGAGUUCUCAGGAAAAAUUAAAGGGACCAAAGAGAGUCUAUUGCAAGGCACAACUCAAACAUAGGUACCCUGCUUCAAAAGACCAUUGGGGGCUGAUUGUAUUUGAAUCUAGCUUAACCCCUUUUGGG
rnacentral:lncRNA from 1 species